GGAUUGCAGGCUGCAACCCGCCUGUAUGAAGUUGGAAUCGCUAGUAAUCGCGGAUCAGCAUGCCGCGGUGAAUACGUUCCCGGGCCUUGUACACACCGCCCGUCACACCAUGGGAGUCGGUAACGCCCGAAGUCAGUGACCCAACCGGAAGGAGGGAGCUGCCGAAGGCGGGACUGGUAACUGGGGUGAAGUCGUAACAAGGUACC
rnacentral:rRNA from 1 species